CAGUCGCCACGGGAAUACGAAGGGUGCAAGCGUUAAUCGGAAUUACUGGGCGUAAAGCGUGCGUAGGCGGUUUGUUAAGUCUGCUGUGAAAUCCCCGGGCUCAACCUGGGAAUGGCAGUGGAUACUGGCAAGCUAGAGUGUGUCAGAGGAUGGUGGAAUUCCCGGUGUAGCGGUGAAAUGCGUAGAGAUCGGGAGGAACAUCAGUGGCGAAGGCGGCCAUCUGGGACAACACUGACGCUGAGGCACGAAAGCGUGGGGAGCAAACAGGAUUAGAUACCCCGGUAGUCCCUGUCUCUAUACA
rnacentral:rRNA from 1 species